CNUUGGGAGCUCUCCCNUAUGGUCGACCUGCAGGCGGCCGCGAAUUCACUAGUGAUUAGAGUUUUGAUCCUGGCUCAGAUUGAACGCUGGCGGCGUGCUUAACACAUGCAAGUCGAACGUGAAAGUCCUUCGGGGCGAGUAAAGUGGCGCACGGGUGAGUAACGCGUGGAUAAUCUACCCUUAAGAUGGGGAUAACGGCUGGAAACGGUCGCUAAUACCGAAUACGCUCCCGAUUUUAUCAUUGGGGGGAAAGAUGGCCUCUGCUUGCAAGCUAUCGCUUAAGGAUGAGUCCGCGUCCCAUUAGCUAGUUGGCGGGGUAACGGCCCACCAAGGCAACGAUGGGUAGCCGGUCUGAGAGGAUGACCGGCCACACUGGAACUGGAACACGGUCCAGACUCCUACGGGAGGCAGCAGUGGGGAAUAUUGCGCAAUGGGCGAAAGCCUGACGCAGCGACGCCGCGUGANNGAUGAAGGUUCUCGGAUCGUAAACCUCUGUCAGGGGGGGAAGAAAC
rnacentral:rRNA from 1 species